GCUAAGGUAGCAUAAUCAUUUGUUUUUUAAUUGGGGACUAGUAUGAACGGUUAAAUUAAUUAAAUUUAUUUUGGUUAUUUUUUAAUAAAUUUAAGUUGAAGUAAGAAUUCUUUAAUAAAUUAAGGGACGAUAAGACCCUAAAAGCUUUAUCAAAAGUUUUAUUUUAGUUUUUUAAAUAAAUUGAUUUUACUGGGGUGGUAAGUUUAUGUUAACUUAAUUAGUAAUAAAAGGUCCUUUAGAUAAAGAAAAAGUGUGUUAGUUACUUUAGGGAUAA
rnacentral:rRNA from 1 species